UGUUCAAUGGAUUUGAAGUACUUGGGAACU
rnacentral:piRNA from 1 species